UUUCCGUAGGUGAACCUGCGGAAGGAUCAUUAGCAAUCAGUAGUUUAUGGGACUUUUUGAACAAUACCUAUCCACCUUGUGUGCGACGGUAUGAGACCCACUAUCGUUAUAUUUUACGUUACGGAAGAGGGAACCUCUACAACUUAUCAACGUAUCCCUUAACUUUUUUGUCUGAACAUUUGUUAUCACGAAUUAACUUAAUGCGAAAAUACAACUUUCAACAACGGAUCUCUUGGCUCUC
rnacentral:misc_RNA from 1 species